GACGAACGCUGGCGGCGUGCCUAAUACAUGCAAGUUGAGCGCUGAAGGUUGGUACUUGUACCAACUGGAUGAGCAGCGAACGGGUGAGUAACGCGUGGGGAAUCUGCCUUUGAGCGGGGGACAACAUUUGGAAACGAAUGCUAAUACCGCAUAAAAACUUUAAACACAAGUUCUAAGUUUGAAAGAUGCAAUUGCAUCACUCAAAGAUGAUCCCGCGUUGUAUUAGCUAGUUGGUGAGGUAAAGGCUCACCAAGGCGAUGAUACAUAGCCGACCUGAGAGGGUGAUCGGCCACAUUGGGACUGAGACACGGCCCAAACUCCUACGGGAGGCAGCAGUAGGGAAUCUUCGGCAAUGGACGAAAGUCUGACCGAGCAACGCCGCGUGAGUGAAGAAGGUUUUCGGAUCGUAAAACUCUGUUGGUAGAGAAGAACGUUGGUGAGAGUGGAAAGCUCAUAAAGUGACGGUAACUACCCAGAAAGGGACGGCUAACUACGUG
rnacentral:rRNA from 1 species